rnacentral:tRNA from 1 species
GCUGAUUUAGCUCAGUAGGCAGAGCGCAUCCAUGGUAAGGAUGAGGUAGCCGGUUCGAUCCCGGCAAUUAGCAUCA